GGAAUAUUGCACAAUGGGGGAAACCCUGAUGCAGCGACGCCGCGUGAGUGAAGAAGUAUUUCGGUAUGUAAAGCUCUAUCAGCAGGGAAGAUAAUGACGGUACCUGCACAAGAAGCCCCGGCUAACUACGUGCCAGCAGCCGCGGUAAUACGUAGGGGGCAAGCGUUAUCCGGAUUUACUGGGUGUAAAGGGAGCGCAGGCGGUCACGCAAGUCAGAAGUGAAAGCCCGGGGCUUAACCCCGGGACUGCUUUUGAAACUGCGGGACUUGAUUGCAGGAGAGGUAAGUGGAAUUCCUAGUGUAGCGGUGAAAUGCGUAGAUAUUAGGAGGAACACCGGUGGCGAAGGCGGCUUACUGGACUGUAAAUGACGCUGAGGCUCGAAAGCGUGGGGAGCAAACA
rnacentral:rRNA from 1 species